UACGUAGGGUGCAAGCGUUGUCCGGAAUUAUUGGGCGUAAAGAGCUCGUAGGCGGUCUGUCGCGUCGGCUGUGAAAUCCCGGAGCUCAACUCCGGGUCUGCAGUCGAUACGGGCAAACUGGAGUACUGCAGGGGAGACUGGAAUUCCUGGUGUAGCGGUGAAAUGCGCAGAUAUCAGGAGGAACACCGAUGGCGAAGGCAGGUCUCUGGGCAUUAACUGACGCUGAGGUGCGAAAGCGUGGGGAGCAAACAGG
rnacentral:rRNA from 1 species